CUCUACUCCUCCAUACACACAAGCACCUGGUCAGAAUUGAGCAGACCGACGGAACCUUCCUGCCCUGACCCCCAGCAAACAGCGCUAAGAGGGAUUUGCCACGACCUUCCAGGAAGUCAGAAUCUUGCUGUCACCUGGAGUAUGUGGGUCAAGGCAGCAGAUCCUGCACGAAUAGCUUUGUGCCCCCUCCAAGAAAAGAACUAACCUUGGGAAAUAAGCCAAACAUCAUUUCAGCUGGUUAAAUUGAAAUGCAAAGUGUCUCUGCACUUGGGAAGGGAACUGUCUUGUCCAAUAAAUUUCCAGGUGCUGAUGACAGAGACCAACGUGGAAGGAAAGGAGUGAAUUCUCCCUCCAGGUGCCAGAGAUGACAUCGUUUGAGAUAGAUCUCUUGGUUUGCUUUAUGGUCAAUGGAUUUCUUCCACUGGUUUCUGCCUAGUUCAAUGGUGACCUCAGAACGCAGUGACAACAAUGAAAACAGUCCUAUCCUCCAGGGUCUGAUAGAUCAGUUUGCUCCUUUCCUGAUGAGAAGUCUUCAGCUGACUUAGAAAAUCAGUGCCACUGGUCACGAGGAGGACAUGUGACACAUUAUGCAAUCAUUUCUACUACAGAGAAAUCUUCAAAUUAUUCUUACAAAUGGCUAUUUUACCUUUCCAGAGAUAAAAUUCACUAUUUUUGUGAAGUUGGAGAUGUUGUUAAUCAAUGAAACUUUUAAGUGGUUAUGUGGAAUUAAAUAGAGUCACCAAGGUUGUUUUUAUUUUUUGCCAUCCUUCAUCAUGGGCUUUAAGUUAUAUGAAUAAGCUUCCACUUACUAGACAGAUGCUAACUCUGGUCCUUCCCAGGACCCACCUUCUGCUUGAAUAAAUGCAUAGAAAUGCACA
rnacentral:lncRNA from 13 species